GUUAGCAAAAACUCUUAGAGCUGCCAUCUGACGACAAAUUUUCAUCAAAUCUUAAUAUUUAUGUGAUUUUCACUCCAGCAAUUUUAAUAAAACGUCAUUCAAAUUAAAGCUACAAUUUCCAGAAGUGUAAAAUCAAUUUUUUAGAAAAUAAUAAAAUCGUUUUUAGACGAGAGUUAGCACUUAUACUGCAUUAGUGAGUAGAGAGGGAAAAUUUAAUUUUCGCAUGUCUGCAUGCCAAGUGAUACAAGAGUCAUUUUGGGUGGUAGACUGGCGUCACUUAACAACUUCUUGUGAGAUAAAAUUAUUUAUUUAUCCAGAUGUAUAUUAUAAAUAAAUCCAUUCACACUUAUACAUAUUA